CACAAUUAGGAAAACGAAUUACUCCGUUUAAAUUCAAACCCUGACUCAGGACCUUUUUCUUCUCCAGCACUUUCCUUUCUCCUGUGUGAAUCAUCAGCUUGUCGUUGAUCAUCACAAUCCAAUACCUGUUCAACGAUACUCUAUUUGCGAGAGGUUAGUCGAGCAAAUUUUUUGCCAAGUUUCGACGACAAUCGCUUGAUAAAUGUACGUGAUUAAGAGGGAUGGGCGUCGAGAGCCGGUCCAUCUCAAGAAGACCACUAGGACUGGGCUGACUAACCAGCAUUUUGACCCAGUGCUAGUGGCCCGGAAGCUUUGUGCGGGUGUCUGCAAGGAUGUUACCACCACGCAGCUUGAUGAGUUAGCCGCGGAGACCUAGACCGUCAAGGCUGCAAAUCAUCCCGAUUACACUCUAGCUCGUGGUAUUUUAUAACAGGUCUGGGAAGAGGGCUCCUCUUUUUGCCCGAUGAUGUUUAUGAAAUCUUCACGAAGGACAACGAGAUGAACCAUAAUGUCGAUGCUGUUAUGGUCUUAUGACAGAGGUCGCAUCUGAACUGCAGAACCGAGAAGAAUGCAUGGCUUAUGAAAGCUAAUCCUUUUCUGUCAAAUAUUUGAAGGAAAAACACUACAGCCAUAAAUAUGAAUUUCAAUAUUUCUGGGACAAAUGGUACUUGCAAUGGCAUUCUUCCUAUGCUCCAAUUCCUUAGAGAUACAGCUUGCUAAGUUGACCAAAGGGGAGGCAAGAGGAAAGAUAUGUCUAUAAGCCAGUAAUUCUUUCUCAUGUUUUCAAUGAUUUAGUGUCACACCUUGGGUCAAUGAGUGUGAGAGUUUUCUAUGUAGGCUAAAAUACAUGAGAAUUGUAUACAAUUUAUCUAGCUGCAUAUCCAAAACAUUUAUAAUCAUCCUUUUCUCCCUCUUGCAUUUGUACAUGGUGUAGAUUCUCACAUUUUGCUUGUGAUGUAUAAUUUACUGGUACUUCCAUCUUUUGAUAUUUUACUUUUAGGUGUUUUUCCCAUCGGAGCCAUCUGAUGCUGAUAGCUUCAGAAAGAAUCAUGAAAAGAUACUUGUUGCGUUAAUUCUGAAUUUAACUGAUACAAAGUUGAGAGAACUAUCUUGAGAUUCUUGUGGGACACAAGAUAAGGAGGGGAAGAAGAGGUAACGAGUCUAAUGACCUCAUGCAUUUAUUGUUUGGCAACUAUAGGGAUUGAUCUUUAUGCACCACCGACUUUCAAGAUAUAAUCUAUGUCACAUUGCCAUAUAGAUCAUGACAGUAAGAAUAGAAAUCUCUUGCAGAUCUUUCAUCAUCAACUGCUGAUGAUUGAAAAGAAUAUUUGAUGUAAAUCACCUGGUUUAUUUUAUUUCACUUUGAUAAGCAUGGUUGUAGUGAUCUUAUUGCAAUUUGAAGUAUUCAACAAGUUAAGCCACAGCCUCAGUAUCUACAGUAGAGAACCCUUU